UGGACCAGUGAUGACGACUGGUGGCGUAUGACUCACGGAUGAUGAAUAAUGUGUGUCUGCAAGUCUGAGGUUCAA
ensembl:snoRNA